rnacentral:rRNA from 1 species
CCCUUAGAUGUUCUGGGCUGCACGCGCGCUACACUGAUGCGUUCAACGAGUUUAUCACCUUGCCCGAUAGGGUUGGGUAAUCUUUUGAAAACGCAUCGCGAUGGGGAUAGAUUAUUGUAAUUAUUAAUCUUCAACGAGGAAUUCCUAGUAAGUGCGAAUCAUCAGUUCGCGCUGAUUACGUCCCUGCCCUUUGUACACACCGCCCGUCGCUCCUACCGAUUGAGUGGUCCGGUGAAGCGUUUGGACUAUGGUUUUCUGAUGGUCCGCCGUUGGAUUACCGUGGGAAGUUCGUUAAACCUUAUCAUUUAGAGGAAGGAGAAGUCGUAACA